UACGAAGGGGGCUAGCGUUGCUCGGAAUGACUGGGCGUAAAGGGCGCGUAGGCGGCUUGUAGAGUCGGAUGUGAAAUUCCUGGGCUUAACCUGGGGGGCUGCAUUCGAUACCUAUGGGCUUGAGUGCGGAAGGAGGGUCGUGGAAUUCCCAGUGUAGAGGUGAAAUUCGUAGAUAUUCGCAAGAACACCAGUGGCGAAGGCGGCUCACUGGCCCGAUACUGACGCUGAGGUGCGAAAGCGUGGGGAGCAAACAGG
rnacentral:rRNA from 1 species